CCCAUUAAACACUUAGGUAAUAAAAUUCAGUGUUCUAUGCUAAACGAAGAGAAUUUUAUAGUCCACAUCAUGAUUUAUAGUUACAUUAUCACAUUUCUUCCACAAUGCUUACAUUACUUCACAUUAUAAUAAUUAUUAAGCUAUUGAUAUGAAGCAGAACACUUCCUCAAAUUAAGGUACCUUUCGCUGUAAGUAGCAAAGACUGCCUUCCUGCAGUAAGUAAAGAAGUGACUCUUCAAAUACUGGGUGGAAUUUCUUUAUCCAACAUAUUACCAAUGCGCUGGCAGAUUUACAACAGAUGAUCAGGAGCCACAUGCUUAUUGGACAAGACCAGUUCCUCGUAGCUCCUGUUAUGCUCAUUGCCCUCCCAGUCCAACCUGUUCGGCAACAACUGGUACUGCUCCAGCUCCUGCACCAGCACCUGGGCCCUUCUCCAACACAGACCCGGUGAGAGGUACUGGGCGAUGAGGAAGUACAGCUCCAACUCCAUGAGAGGCACCGGGCCUCAGGUGGACAAGGCCUCCUCCUUGGCCGGGCGCUGGGCGGGAGGCGGGAGCGAGCGUGCUAGCCAAGCAUGUGGGCCGCGCUGAGGCUUGACGAGGCCGGCGUCCCUUUUCCUGAGGCACGUGCGCCGCCGCCGCCAUCAUGCCGUGCGCGCCGCCCUAAUGCUUUUUUUUUCACAUUAGAAUCAACUGGGAAGCUUUUAUUUUUCUCCCAGAUUUAUUGAGAUAUACUUAAUAGAUAUAAAAUGUAAAAUUCUAUAAUUUUUUAAAAAAAUCAGUAUUUUCUUAAAAUUUCAAUGUUAUGUCCCUGAAACAAGAACGAUCUCAGUCAUCUUUGACUAUGCUUUCUCCUCAGCCCCUCUAUCUAAGUAGUUUCUGCUCAUUCUUAUCUCCACUAUCACGAUCAUAUGACCUCUAAUGUUUUUAAAUCAUCAUUGUCCUCAUCUACUAUUUCAUUAUCAGUAGUACAGCUUCUAUAUGAAAGGUAGGACAAGUGCUUGAUUCUUUCUCAUUAGUUAUCAUCUUCAUUGCCUUUCAGCUGAUUUAUUCUGGCAGAAUUCUGACUUCUACCAUUCUUUUGCCCUUCCAAUUUAUAUGACAUGUAGCUAUCAGAUUACUCUUUUCGAUGCACAGGUCUGACCAAUUGCUAUUACCCAAUUAUGUUCAAAGCAGUCAAGACAUUCCUUAUAACCAAAAACCAGGAAGAUCCGGAUAAAGACACUGUCUGCACUCUACUCAGAUGCCCUUUGAGUCUAUGCGCUGUUUCUGGGCUCAUCCUCCAGCCUCAACGUGUUUGC
rnacentral:lncRNA from 1 species